AACUAUAACGGUCCUAGGGUAGCGAAAUUCCUUGUCGGGUAAGUUCCGACCCGCACGAAAGGCGUAACGAUUUGGGCACUGUCUCAACGAGAGACUCGGCGAAAUCAUAGUACCUGUGAAGAUGCAGGUUACCCGCGACAGGACGGACAGACCCCGCGGAGCUUUACUGUAGCCUGAUAUCGAAAUUCGGCACCGACUGCACAGGAUAGGGAGGAGCCGUUGAAACGUGUGCGCUAGCAUAAGAGGAGGCG
rnacentral:rRNA from 1 species